rnacentral:rRNA from 1 species
ACAGAGGGUGCGAGCGUUAAUCGGAAUUACUGGGCGUAAAGCGCACGCAGGCGGCUUUGCAAGUCGGGUGUGAAAUCCCCGGGCUCAACCUGGGAACUGCAUUCGAGACUGCAUUGCUCGAGUAUGGGAGAGGGAAGUGGAAUUUCCGGUGUAGCGGUGAAAUGCGUAGAUAUCGGAAGGAACAUCAGUGGCGAAGGCGACUUCCUGGACCAAUACUGACGCUCAGGUGCGAAAGCGUGGGGAGCAAACAGG